rnacentral:lncRNA from 1 species
UCGGUUCCCUUCCUCGUUUAUUAGUAUGAAUUAACAAAUCUUACUACAGUUAUUGUUAGAAAACAAAGAAAAAACCAGGGCCACGAGUUCAAAACUUCAACAACUUAGUACAGACAACUUCAGCGCAUGCGCACCAUACAGAGGUGUAAAGUUGGUUUGGAUCGUCUAGGCUAUCCAGCUGCCAUUAAAGGGACAGUGUCAAGCCCCUGCCUGGGUGGACCGUCCCAUUUUACACCUCUACACACAUCAAUAGAUAUCAUUUCCAUUAAAAGAGUCAAAUAAUAGGAUUUGUAUAACUUAUCCUCAUUAUUGAAAUUAUCUUUAUCUUUAGUUUUAUAAUANNN